GCGCCGGCUAACUACGUGCCAGCAGCCGCGGUAAUACGUAGGGCGCAAGCGUUGUCCGGAAUUAUUGGGCGUAAAGAGCUUGUAGGUGGCUUGUCGCGUCUGCCGUGAAAUCCCGGGGCUUAACCCUGGGCGUGCGGUGGGUACGGGCAGGCUAGAGUGUGGUAGGGGAGACUGGAACUCCUGGUGUAGCGGUGGAAUGCGCAGAUAUCAGGAAGAACACCGAUGGCGAAGGCAGGUCUCUGGGCCAUUACUGACACUGAGAAGCGAAAGCAUGGGGAGCGAACAGGAUUAGAUACCCUGGUAGUCCAUGCCGUAAACGUUGGGCACUAGAUGUGGGGGACAUUCCACGUUUUCCGCGUCGUAGCUAACGCAUUAAGUGCCCCGCCUGGGGAGUACGGCCGCA
rnacentral:rRNA from 1 species